AACGAACGCUGGCGGCAUGCCUAACACAUGCAAGUCGAACGAGACCUUCGGGUCUAGUGGCGCACGGGUGCGUAACGCGUGGGAACCUGCCCUUAGGUUCGGAAUAACUCCCCGAAAGGGGUGCUAAUACCGGAUAAUGUCUUCGGACCAAAGAUUUAUCGCCUUUGGAUGGGCCCGCGUUGGAUUAGCUAGUUGGUAGGGUAAAAGCCUACCAAGGCGACGAUCCAUAGCUGGUCUGAGAGGAUGAUCAGCCAGACUGGGACUGGGACAAGGCCCAGACUCCAACGGGAGGCAGCAAUGGGGAAUAUUGGACAAUGAGCGAAAGCCUGAUCCAGCAAGGCCGCGUUAGUGAUGAAGGCCUUAGGGUUGUAAAGCUCUUUUACCCGGGAUGAUAAUGACAGAACCGGGAGAAUAAGCCCCGGCAAACUCCUU
rnacentral:rRNA from 1 species